AGGGGAUCCCAAGUGCGUAGGCAUAGAGCCUACGCUUUUGUCCACCCUAGGGAGGUGGACGAAUAAGGGCUGGGCAAGACCGGUGCCAGCCGCCGCGGUAAUACCGGCAGCCCAAGUGAUGGCCGAUCUUAUUGGGCCUAAAGCGUCCGUAGCUGGCCGCGCAAGUCCAUCGGGAAAUCCACCCGCCCAACGGGUGGCCGUCCGGUGGAAACUGCACGGCUUGGGACCGGAAGGCGCGACGGGUACGUCCGGGGUAGGAGUGAAAUCCCGUAAUCCUGGACGGACCGCCGAUGGCGAAAGCACGUCGCGAGAACGGAUCCGACAGUGAGGGACGAAAGCCAGGGUCUCGAACCGGAUUAGAUACCCGGGUAGUCCUGGCCGUAAACACUGCCUGCUAGGUGUGGCUCCCACUACGAGCGGGUGCUGUGCCGUAGGGAAGCCGCUAAGCAGGCCGCCUGGGAAGUACGUCCGCAAGGAUGAAACUUAAAGGAAUUGGCGGGGGAGCACUACAACCGGAGGAGCCUGCGGUUUAAUUGGACUCAACGCCGGACAUCUCACCAGCAUCGACUGUGGUAAUGACACUCAGGUUGAUGACCUUAGUCGAGCCACAGAGAGGAGGUGCAUGGCCGCCGUCAGCUCGUACCGUGAGGCGUCCUGUUAAGUCAGGCAACGAGCGAGACCCGCAUCCUUACUUGCCAGCAACGCUGUGAAGCGGUUGGGGACAGUAAGGAGACUGCCGUGGCCAACACGGAGGAAGGAACGGGCAACGGUAGGUCAGUAUGCCCCGAAUGUGCUGGGCAACACGCGGGCUACAAUGGUCGAGACAAAGGGUUCCUACUCCGAAAGGAGACGGUAAUCUCAGAAACUCGAUCGUAGUUCGGAUUGUGGGCUGCAACUCGCCCACAUGAAGCUGGAUUCGGUAGUA
rnacentral:rRNA from 1 species